CAAACGGGUGAGUAACACGUGGACAACCUGCCCUCAAGUGGGGAAUAACGCUGCGAAAGCAGUGCUAAUACCGCAUAAGCUCGCGAGAGUAAAGCUUCGGCGCUUGAGGAGGGGUCCGCGUCUGAUUAGCUAGAUGGUGGGGUAACGGCCUACCAUGGCGAUGAUCAGUAGCCGGCCUGAGAGGGCUGACGGCCACACUGGGACUGAGACACGGCCCAG
rnacentral:rRNA from 1 species